rnacentral:rRNA from 1 species
GAUGAACGCUGGCGGCGUGCCUAAUACAUGCAAGUCGAGCGAACAGACGAGGAGCUUGCUCCUCUGACGUUAGCGGCGGACGGGUGAGUAACACGUGGAUAACCUACCUAUAAGACUGGGAUAACUUCGGGAAACCGGAGCUAAUACCGGAUAAUAUAUUGAACCGCAUGGUUCAAUAGUGAAAGACGGUUUUGCUGUCACUUAUAGAUGGAUCCGCGCCGCAUUAGCUAGUUGGUAAGGUAACGGCUUACCAAGGCAACGAUGCGUAGCCGACCUGAGAGGGGGGACGGGCAAAACGUGAAAGAGGAACGGUCCCCACCCCGAGGGGGGGGAAGAGGUGGGAAUUUUCCAGAAGGGGGCGAAAGCGUGAGCGGAAAACCCGGGUGGAGGAAUAAGGGUUUUGUGUUCGAAAAACUCUUUUAUUGGGAAAAAAAAAAUUUGUAAGUAACUGUCAAACUUUUGGGGGACCUUAAUCAAAAAGCCCGGCCAAACUGGGC